rnacentral:rRNA from 1 species
AUUAGACGAAUCAUCUGGAAAGAUGAAUCAAAGAAGGUAAUAAUCCUGUAGUCGAAAAUGUUGUCUCUCUUGAGUGGAUCCUGAGUACGACGGAGCACGUGAAAUUCCGUCGGAAUCUGGGAGGACCAUCUCCUAAGGCUAAAUACUCUCUAGUGACCGAUAGUGAACCAGUACCGUGAGGGAAAGGUGAAAAGCACCCCGGAAGGGGAGUGAAAUAGAACCUGAAACCGUGUGCUUACAAGUAGUCAGAGCCCGUUAAUGGGUGAUGGCGUGCCUUUUGUAGAAUGAACCGGCGAGUUACGAUUUGAUGCAAGGUUAAGCAGUAAAUGUGGAGCCGUAGCGAAAGCGAGUCUGAAUAGGGCGUUUAGUAUUUGGUCGUAGACCCGAAACCAGGUGAUCUACCCUUGGUCAGGUUGAAGUUCAGGUAACACUGAAUGGAGGACCGAACCGACUUACGUUGAAAAGUGAGCGGAUGAACUGAGGGUAGCGGAGAAAUUCCAAUCGAACCUGGAGAUAGCUGGUUCUCUCCGAAAUAGCUUUAGGGCUAGCCUCAAGUGAUGAUUAUUGGAGGUAGAGCACUGUUUGGACGAGGGGCCCCUCUCGGGUUACCGAAUUCAGACAAACUCCGAAUGCCAAUUAAUUUAACUUGGGAGU